rnacentral:rRNA from 1 species
UACGUAGGGUGCAAGCGUUAAUCGGAAUUACUGGGCGUAAAGCGUGCGCAGGCGGUUCUAUAAGACAGAUGUGAAAUCCCCGGGCUCAACCUGGGAACUGCAUUUGUGACUGUAGAGCUGGAGUACGGUAGAGGGGGGAUGGAAUUCCGCGUGUAGCAGUGAAAUGCGUAGAUAUGCGGAGGAACACCGAUGGCGAAGGCAAUCCCCUGGACCUGUACUGACGCUCAUGCACGAAAGCGUGGGGAGCAAACGAGG